UCACAAAAGCAAACUUUAUAUCAAAAAA
rnacentral:sRNA from 1 species